rnacentral:rRNA from 1 species
CCUACGGGAGGCAGCAGUGGGGAAUAUUGGACAAUGGGCGAAAGCCUGAUCCAGCAAUUCCGCGUGUGUGAAGAAGGCCUUAGGGUUGUAAAGCACUUUCAAUUGGGAGGAAAAAACAAGGAUCAAUACCCCUUGUCUUGACAUUACCUUUAGAAGAAGCACCGGCUAACUCCGUGCCAGCAGCCGCGGUAAUACGGAGGGUGCAAGCGUUAAUCGGAAUUACUGGGCGUAAAGAGUGCGUAGGCGGCUCGUUAAGUCAGAUGUGAAAGCCCUGGGCUCAACCUGGGAACUGCAUUUGAAACUGGCAAGCUAGAGUUGAGUAGAGGGGAGUGGAAUUUCAGGUGUAGCGGUGAAAUGCGUAGAUAUCUGAAGGAACACCAGUGGCGAAGGCGACUCCCUGGACUCAAACUGACGCUGAGGUACGAAAGCGUGGGUAGCAAACAGGAUUAGAUACCUGGUAGUCCACGCCCUAAACGAUGUCAACUAGUUGUGGGUAGAGUAAAAUCUAUGAGUAACGCAGCUAACGCGUGAAGUUGACCGCCUGGGGAGUACGAUCGCAAGAUUAAAACUCAAAUGAAUUGACGGGGGCCCGCACAAGCGGUGGAUUAUGUGGAUUAAUUCGAUGCAACGCGAAAAACCUUACCUGGCCUUGACAUGUACGGAAGAUUUCAGAGAUGAGAUUGUGCUCGAAAGAGAACCGUAACACAGGUGCUGCAUGGCUGUCGUCAGCUCGUGUCGUGGGAUGUUGGGUUAAGUCCCGCAACGAGCGCAACCCUUGCCAAUAAUUGCCAUCAUUUAGUUGGGCACUUUAUUGGGACUGCCGGUGACAAACCGGAGGAAGGUGGGGAUGACGUCAAGUCCUCAUGGCCCUUAUGGCCAGGGCUUCACACGUAAUACAAUGGUCGGUACAGAGGGUUGCCAAGCCGCAAGGUGGAGCCAAUCCCAGAAAGCCGAUCGUAGUCCGGAUUGAGGUCUGCAACUCGAGAGCAUGAAGUUGGAAUCGCUAGUAAUCGCGGAUCAGCAUGCCGCGGUGAAUACGUUCCCGGGCCUUGUACACACCGCCCGU